rnacentral:misc_RNA from 1 species
UGCUGCUAGUACCUCCACAAAUCCGUCUCCAAAGUUGAUACCAUUUCCAAAGUAUGUGCGUGCAAGGUGUCGAUUAAGGGAAGCAGAGUUGAAUUGGGUCAGUACAAAUAUCUUGUUAAUGCCACUGUUGAUGCAGUUGCUCAUUGGGAUGUCUAUUAGCUUAUAGCAUCCUCCCACUGGUACAGCUGGUGUUGCUGCCCUUCUUGUAAGAGGAAACAAUUGAGUCCCUGCACCUCCUCCCAAUAUG